rnacentral:lncRNA from 1 species
GACAGCAUGAUCUUUUCUCCACUAUUAUACGGAAGACAGACUCGGCUCGAAUAUGGCCAGGGCAGAUAUUGAAAUGGACAUUCAGAGACACGAGGACUCGGCGGGAGGAAGACAUGAUGAUGAAGGGCCGCUCAUAAAGUACUACCGGGCCAGUGAAGUUCUGCCGGGCCCCGUGCCGGCGCUGCAGCGGCUCCUCAGGAAGGGACCGGCCACCUGCGCCGCCGUUCAGUCGUCCAGUGGGAUCCUGAGUUUUGGGAUCGGGGUUGUAUUUGCAGUGUCUUUCGGGAUCGAAAAUAAUUUCCUGACUUUAUUCCGAG